AUGUUUUAUGUUCUAAGGUCCCUCUCAGUUCUGACAUUCUAUAUUCUAUAUUUUCUUUCAGCUCCAACAGCUCCAACAGUUUUAAGUUCUAAGGUCUCUCCAAGUUCUGACAUUCCACAUUCUAUUCCUGCUCCAACAUUCUAUGUUUUAUGUUUUAAGGUCCCUUCCAGUUCUGAUAUUCUACAUUCUGGUCCUGCUCCAACAUUCUAUGUUUUAUGUUCUAAGGUCUUUCCCAGUUCUGACAUUCUUUAUUCUGUUCCAGCUCCAACUUUCCAUGUUUUAUGUUCUAAGGUCCCUCUCAGUUCUGACAAUUUCUGUACUAAGGUUCCUCCCAAUUCUGACAUUCUACCUUCUGUUCUAGCUCUGGCAUCCUAUGUUCUGUGCCCUAAAGUCCCUCCCAGUUCUGACACUCUUCGAUCCCUCCCAUUGUUGACACUCCAUGUACGGUGAUUUUAUGGCCUGACACCUGUUAGGAGAUCAGCUCCAUCACUGUCUCCUCAACCUCCAUCGCUCUAAACAAGGAGAAGGACAUGGAGGGAAUCUGGGCAUGGUGGGCUCUCUCUAGCUAUAGCUGCUUUCUGAGGGCAUUGAACUCAGGUGUCCCAGGCACUGGAAGACGCUGUCUCUCAUCCCCUUCUCGGAUGGAUGGAUGCCCCUCAGAGACGCCCCCUGCCCUUUGCUUCCCUUUAUCCCAUAGGCCACCUCCCUUCCUCCUAUGGGUGCCCCAAUCACCCUCAAACCUGGGGGGUUUCAUUCUGCCUCCCACAACUUCCUGCCUUGCCCCUGCUAGCAGAGACUCUUCCCCAGCUUCCACCAAUUCCUUCCUAGUCCUUGCUAAGCUCUGGAGGUGGCUCUGAGGCUCCCAUGGGGACAGAACCCUUUACCUGAGCUCGGUGCCUGCCUGCCCAGGCUCCACCUGGCUGCCUCCUCUCUCCAGGGAUCCACUUCCAGGCUCCGGGAGCCAGCUCGGAUGGCCGUCCUAAGGUGCUGCGCCCCUCUCUUCUCCGUCGCUGGCUGCCCAGGGGAACGCCAAGUGGUGGGGCUCUUGGAGUAGGGAGGGGAAGCUGAAACCCAAGGGGUGGGGUCCUCAGGCUCCCCUGGGCAGCGUUGGCCUGCCCUCCCGCUUUGUCCCUGGAAAAAUGGCUGCAGGGAUUAAUCAUUAGUAGAUACACAAAGGCUAAAGGAAAGGAGAAAAACCACAAGCUUGGCCCAUGCUGGACUUAACCCAACUUUAGCCAGGACUGUGCUGGGCGGGAACCCAGGCUGGUGCGCUGGCUGCCAGGGAGAGGCAGGUGCGCAGCUCUUGGUGGGGACCCACAGGUUCCUCUUUGGUUCCUGGCCAGCCUGAGCAGCUUAACCCCUUCUCUUCCGGAGGGUCUCUCAUUUUGCAAGGCAGCUCCCCGACCAGAGGGUUGUCUGGGUCCCAAAAGGGUCAGUCCCCUCUACAGGC
ensembl:lncRNA